AUUGAACGCUGGCGGCAGGCCUAACACAUGCAAGUCGAACGAGUGGCGGACGGGUGAGUAAUGCCUGGGAAACUGCCUGAUGGAGGGGGAUAACUACUGGAAACGGUAGCUAAUACCGCAUACCAUCGGAUGUGCCCAGGGGGGAUUAGCUGGUUGGUGGGGUAAGGGCUCACCAAGGCGACGAUCCCUAGCUGGUCUGAGAGGAUGACCAGCAACACCGGAACUGAGACACGGCCCAGACUCCUACGGGAGGCAGCAGUGGGGAAUAUUGGACAAUGGGCGCAAGCCUGAUGCAGCCAUGCCGCGUGUAUGAAGAAGGCCUUCGGGUUGUAAAGUACUUUCAGCAGGGAGGCGUUACCCGAAGAAGAAGCACCGGCUAACUCCGUGCCAGCAGCCGCGGUAAUUC
rnacentral:rRNA from 1 species